rnacentral:rRNA from 1 species
UGGGGAAUUUUGGACAAUGGGCGCAAGCCUGAUCCAGCCAUGCCGCGUGCAGGAAGACGGCCUUCUGGGUUGUAAACUGCUUUUACCGGGGGAUAAAAUUCCCAUGCGUGGGACAUUGAAGGUACCCGGUCAAUAAGCCACGGCUAACUACGUGCCAGCAGCCGCGGUAAUACGUAGGUGGCAAGCGUUGUCCGGAUUUAUUGGGUUUAAAGGGUGCGUAGGCGGCUUUUUAAGUCAGUGCUGAAAUAUCCCGGCUUAACCGGGAGGGUGGCAUUGAUACUGGAAAGCUUGAGUGAAGUCGAAGUAGGCGGAAUUGACGGUGUAGCGGUGAAAUGCUUAGAUAUCGUCAAGAACACCGAUAGUGUAGACAGUUUACUAGGCUUUAACUGACGCUGAGGCACGAAAGUGUGGGGAUCAAA